CCUACGGGAGGCAGCAGUGGGGAAUAUUGGACAAUGGGCGCAAGCCUGAUCCAGCCAUGCCGCGUGAGUGAUGAAGGCCCUAGGGUUGUAAAGCUCUUUCACCGGUGAAGAUAAUGACGGUAACCGGAGAAGAAGCCCCGGCUAACUUCGUGCCAGCAGCCGCGGUA
rnacentral:rRNA from 1 species